rnacentral:rRNA from 1 species
GAUGAACGCUGGCGGCGUGCUUAACACAUGCAAGUCGAACGGAAAGGCUCCUGCUUGCAGGGGUACUCGAGUGGCGAACGGGUGAGUAACACGUGGGUGAUCUGCCCUGCACUUCGGGAUAAGCCUGGGAAACUGGGUCUAAUACCGGAUAGGACGAUGGUUUGGAUGCCAUUGUGGAAAGUUUUUCGGUGUGGGAUGAGCUCGCGGCCUAUCAGCUUGUUGGUGGGGUAAUGGCCUACCAAGGCGUCGACGGGUAGCCGGCCUGAGAGGGUGUACGGCCAAAUUGGGAAUGAGAUACGGCCCAGACCCCUACGGGGGGGAGGAGGGGGGAAUAUUGAAAAAUGGGCGAAAGCCGGAGGCAGCGACGCCGGGGGGGGGAUGAGGGCCUUGGGGUUGAAAACCCCUUUCGCUAGGGACGAAGCGAAAGGGCGGGUACCGGGAGAAGAAGCCCCGGCAAACUACGU